AACGUGCCCAGUAGUGGGGGAUAACCCGGCGAAAGCCGGACUAAUACCGCAUACGACCUACGGGUGAAAGCAGGGGAUCGCAAGACCUUGCGCUAUUGGAGCGGCCGAUGUCAGAUUAGCUUGUUGGCGGGGUAAAAGCCCACCAAGGCGACGAUCUGUAGCUGGUCUGAGAGGACGACCAGCCACACUGGGACUGAGACACGGCCCAGACUCCUACGGGAGGCAGCAGUGGGGAAUUUUGGACAAUGGGCGCAAGCCUGAUCCAGCCAUGCCGCGUGCGG
rnacentral:rRNA from 1 species